AACGAACGUUGGCGGCGUGGAUUAGGCAUGCAAGUCAUACGGGAUCCGGGGUAACUCGGGUCUAGUGGCGAACGGGUGAGUAUCGCGUGGGAAACCUGCCCUUGAGACGGGGAUAACACCUCCAACGGGGUGCUAAUACCGGAUAAGACCACGGAGUCGCAUGGCUCUGCGGUCAAAGGUGGCCUCUACUUGUAAGCUACCACUUAAGGAUAGUCCCGCGUCCCAUUAGCUAGUUGGUAGGGUAAUGGCCUACCAAGGCUACGAUGGGUAGCUGGUCUGAGAGGAUGGUCAGCCACACUGGGACUGAGAUACGGCCCAGACUCCUACGGGAGGCAGCAGUCGAGAGGCUUCGGCAAUGGGGGAAACCCUGACCGAGCGACGCCGCGUGGGCGAUGAAGGCCGUUAGGUUGUAAAGCCCUGUCGAGCGGGAAAAAUUGCAGGCGGGUGAACAAUCCGCUUGUUUGAUGGUACCGUUAAAGGAAGCUCCGGCCAACUCCGUGCCAGCAGCCGCGGUAAUACGGGGGGAGCGAACGUUGUUCGGAAUUACUGGGCGUAAAGGGCGUGCAGGCGGUCCUGUAAGAGAGUUGUGAAAUGCCCUGGCUCAACCAGGGAAAUGCACCUCUGACUGCAGGACUUGAGUAUGGGAGAGG
rnacentral:rRNA from 1 species